AAAGUGGAGCAAUCCAUGAGUAAAGUGGCGACCGGGUGAGUAACACGUGACUAACCUACCUCCGAGUGGGGAAUAACUCCGGGAAACCGGGGCUAAUACCGCAUAACAUCGCAAGAUCAAAGCAGCAAUGCGCUUGGAGAGGGGGUCGCGGCUGAUUAGCUAGUUGGCGGGGUAACGGCCCACCAAGGCGAAGAUCGGUAUCCGGCCUGAGAGGGCGCACGGACACACUGGAACUGAAACACGGUCCAGACUCCUACGGGAGGCAGCAGUGGGGAAUUUUGCGCAAUGGGGGAAACCCUGACGCAGCAACGCCGCGUGGAGGAUGAAGUCCCUUGGGACGUAAACUCCUUUCGACCAAGACGAUAAUGACGGUACUGGUGGAAGAAGCACCGGCUAACUCUGUGCCAGCAGCCGCGGUAAUACAGAGGGUGCGAGCGUUGUUCGGAAUUAUUGGGCGUAAAGGGCGCGUAGGCGGUGCCACAAGUCACUUGUGAAAUCCCCGGGCUUAACUCGGGGCCUGCAGGCGAAACUGUGGUGCUGGAGUAUGGGAGAGGUGCGUGGAAUUCCCGGUGUAGCGGUGAAAUGCGUAGAUAUCGGGAGGAACACCUGUGGCGAAUGCGGCGCACUGGACCAUAACUGACGCUGAGGCGCGAAAGCUAGGGGAGCAAACAGGAUUAGAUACCCUGGUAGUCCUAGCCCUAAACGAUGAUUGCUUGGUGUAGCAGGUACCCAAUCCUGCUGUGCCGCAGCUAACGCGAUAAGCAAUCCGCCUGGGGAGUACGGUCGCAAGGCUGAAACUC
rnacentral:rRNA from 1 species